rnacentral:rRNA from 1 species
GAUGAACGCUGGCGGCGUGCCUAAUACAUGCAAGUCGAGCGAACAGAUGAGGAGCUUGCUCCUCUGACGUUAGCAGCGGACGGGUGAGUAACACGUGGAUAACCUACCUAUAAGACUGGGAUAACUUCGGGAAACCGGAGCUAAUACCGGAUAAUAUAUUGAACCGCAUGGUUCAAUAGUGAAAGACGGUUUUGCUGUCACUUAUAGAUGGAUCCGCGCCGCAUUAGCUAGUUGGUAAGGUAACGGCUUACCAAGGCAACGAUGCGUAGCCGACCUGAGAGGGUGAUCGGCCACACUGGAACUGAGACACGGUCCAGACUCCUACGGGAGGCAGCAGUAGGGAAUCUUCCGCAAUGGGCGAAAGCCUGACGGAGCAACGCCGCGUGAGUGAUGAAGGUCUUCGGAUCGUAAAACUCUGUUAUUAGGGAAGAACAAAUGUGUAAGUAACUAUGCACGUCUUGACGGUACCUAAUCAGAAAGCCACGGCUAACUACGG